rnacentral:rRNA from 1 species
ACGAACGCUGGCGGCAUGCCUAACCCAUGCAAGUCGAACGAGACCUUCGGGUCUAGUGGCGCACGGGUGCGUCACGCGUGGGAACCUGCCCUUAGGUUCGGAAUAACUCCCCGAAAGGGGUGCUAAUACCGGAUAAUGUCUUCGGACCAAAGAUUUAUCGCCUUUGGAUGGGCCCGCGUUGGAUUAGCUAGUUGGUAGGGUAAAAGCCUACCAAGGCGACGAUCCAUAGCUGGUCUGAGAGGAUGAGCAGCCACACUGGGACUGAGACACGGCCCAGACUCCUACGGGAGGCAGCAGUGGGGAAUAUUGGACAAUGGGCGAAAGCCUGAUCCAGCAAUGCCGCGUGAGUGAUGAAGGCCUUAGGGUUGUAAAGCUCUUUUACCCGGGAUGAUAAUGACAGUACCGGGAGAAUAAGCACCGGCUAACUCCGUG